rnacentral:misc_RNA from 1 species
AAGUCGUAACAAGGUUUCCGUAGGUGAACCUGCGGAAGGAUCAUUAACAAAUCAAUUGUGCUGGGAUUGGGCAACCGAUCCUUAGCAACAUUAACCCGAACCUGUGCAGCAAUGCCAGGUAAGGUGUGGGAGCCUUCGGGUUCCCGCGGUGACGGAUAGGGCCUCACGGUCUUUGUCUCGAUCCACAUAGACGCUUUUUUUGUUUGACAGUAUCAGUUGACACUUAAAAAUGACAACUUUUAACAAUGGAUCUCUUGGCUCUU